GACAGAGGGUGCAAACGUUGUUCGGAAUUACUGGGCGUAAAGCGCGUGUAGGCGGCAGGGUGUGUCGGAUGUGAAAUCCCGUGGCUCAACCACGGAAGUGCACCCGAAACUACCCAGCUCGAGUCUCGGAGAGGAAGGUGGAAUGCUUGGUGUAGAGGUGAAAUUCGUAGAUAUCAAGAGGAACACCUGAGGCGAAGGCGGGUUGCUAGGCUGACACUGACGCUGAGUGCGCGAAAGCCAGGGGAGCAAACGGG
rnacentral:rRNA from 1 species